rnacentral:rRNA from 1 species
UAAGGAGGGUGCGAGCGUUAAUCGGAAUUACUGGGCGUAAAGCGCGCGUAGGCGGUUUGUUAAGUUUGAUGUGAAAGUCCUGGGCUUAACCUGGGAACUGCAUUGGAUACUGGCAGGCUGGAGUGUGGUAGAGGGGUGUGGAAUUUCCGGUGUAGCAGUGAAAUGCGUAGAGAUGGGAAGGAACACCAGUGGCGAAGGCGGCACCCUGGACCAACACUGACGCUGAGGUGCGAAAGCGUGGGGAGCAAACAGG